CGUAGUGACUGCGGAGGAUCAUUACCGAGUGAGGGCCCUCUGGGUCCACCUCCCACCCGUGUUUAUUUUACCUUGUUGCUUCGGCGAGCCUGCCUUUUGGCUGCCGGGGGACGUCUGUCCCCGGGUCCGCGCUCGCCGAAGACACCUUAGAACUCUGUCUGAAGAUUGUAGUCUGAGAUUAAAUAUAAAUUAUUUAAAACUUUCAACAACGGAUCUCUUGGUUCCGGCAUCGAUGAAGAACGCAGCGAAAUGCGAUACGUAAUGUGAAUUGCAGAAUUCAGUGAAUCAUCGAGUCUUUGAACGCACAUUGCGCCCUCUGGUAUUCCGGAGGGCAUGCCUGUCCGAGCGUCAUUGCUGCCCUCAAGCACGGCUUGUGUGUUGGGCUCCGUCCUCCUUCCGGGGGACGGGCCCGAAAGGCAGCGGCGGCACCGCGUCCGGUCCUCAAGCGUAUGGGGCUUUGUCACCCGCUUUGUAGGACUGGCCGGCGCCUGCCGAUCAACCAAACUUUUUUCCAGGUUGACCUCGGAUCAGGUAGGGAUACCCGCUGAACUUAAGCAUAUCAAUAAGCGGAGGAAAAGAAACCAACAGGGAUUGCCCCAGUAACGGCGAGUGAAGCGGCAAGAGCUCAAAUUUGAAAGCUGGCUCCUUCGGGGUCCGCAUUGUAAUUUGCAGAGGAUGCUUCGGGAGCGGUCCCCAUCUAAGUGCCCUGGAACGGGACGUCAUAGAGGGUGAGAAUCCCGUAUGGGAUGGGGUGUCCGCGCCCGUGUGAAGCUCCUUCGACGAGUCGAGUUGUUUGGGAAUGCAGCUCUAAAUGGGUGGUAAAUUUCAUCUAAAGCUAAAUAUUGGCCGGAGACCGAUAGCGCACAAGUAGAGUGAUCGAAAGAUGAAAAGCACUUUGAAAAGAGAGUUAAAAAGCACGUGAAAUUGUUGAAAGGGAAGCGCUUGCGACCAGACUCGCUCGCGGGGUUCAGCCGGCAUUCGUGCCGGUGUACUUCCCCGCGAGCGGGCCAGCGUCGGUUUGGGCGGUCGGUCAAAGGCCUCUGGAA
rnacentral:rRNA from 1 species